CCUACGGGGGGCAGCAGUGGGGAAUAUUGCACAAUGGGCGCAAGCCUGAUGCAGCGACGCCGCGUGGGGGAUGACGGCCUUCGGGUUGUAAACCUCUUUCAGCACAGACGAAGCGCAAGUGACGGUAUGUGCAGAAGAAGCACCGGCCAACUACGUGCCAGCAGCCGCGGUAAUACGUAGGGUGCGAGCGUUGUCCGGAAUUACUGGGCGUAAAGAGCUUGUAGGUGGUUUGUCGCGUUGUUCGUGAAAUCUCACGGCUUAACUGUGAGCGUGCG
rnacentral:rRNA from 1 species